rnacentral:lncRNA from 1 species
CUCCUUCUUCCUUUUCGCUGAAAACUCCACAUCCUUCUUCACCGGCUCCUCCAUCACCAUCGCCAAAAAGCUCCACACCAACUUCAUGACGGAAAUCGAUGGUUUGGCCUGGUGAUGUUCCAAAAGAAUCGCGGCAAAAGAAUCAAAUAAGCAGUUGAUUGUGUCAAUAGGAUGGCGGCUGCGAUGACUUAGUGGAGGCGACGUCGUAACAGUCGUGGGGAGGGGAGGAGAAGUAGUGGUGGUUGGUGGGGGAGGUGGAUGCAAGAGAGAUGAAAAAUGAAAUGGGCAGAGAUGAAGUCACGGGAGAGAAAGG